rnacentral:rRNA from 1 species
AUGGAGAGCUUGUGUGCAGGUGGUAAGUAUGAUGGUGCUGUGCAGGUGCUCGAUGAGCUUCUAGAGAAGGGCACACUGCUUAGCCCAAAGAGUCCAGUGAUGGAAGCACCGGCUUAUAAUCCAGUGAUUGAGUAUCUGUGCGACAAUGGGAAUACCAACAAGGCCGAGACGUUCUUCAGGCAGCUGAUGAAGAAAGGUGUGGAUGACAAGUCUGCAUUCAACAGUCUUAUCCGUGGGCAUGCAAAGGAAGGUGCGCUAGAGGCCGCAAAGGAGAUUCUUGCCAUUAUGACACGCCGUGGCGUCCCUACUGACCCCCACUCGCACGCACUGCUUAUUGAUAGCUUCCUGAAGAAGAACGAGCCAGCUGAUGCAAAGACGGCACUGGACAGCAUGAUGGAACAUGGUCACUUACCAAGGCCAGCUCUGUUCCAGUCUGUCAUGGCGGCACUUUUCAACGAUGGCCGGGUUCAGACCGCAAGCAGGGUCAUGAAGAGUAUGAUCGAGAAGGGGAUUACCGAGAACAUGGAUAUGGCACAUAAGAUCGUGGAGGCUCUCUUCAUGAGGUGUCAUGUGGAGGAGGCGAUUGGUCGCGUCAAUCUGAUGGUGGAAAAUGGCUGUAUGCCUGAUCUGGAUAAGUUGCUAGCUGCCCUUUGCGAGAAGGACAAAGUGAUGGAGGCACAAAAGCUGGCUGAUUUUGCGUUGGACCGGGACUUUGAAGUUAGCUUCUCAACCUAUGACAGAGUCCUGGAAGCCCUGUACACUGAGGAGAAGACAUUGCCACCCUACUCCAUGCUCUGCAAGAUCAAGCACAAAGGAGGCGUUGUAGAUCAGAAGGGUUGCGAUGCUUUGAUGGAUAGCUUAAAAGCUGGAGGAUACUCAAAGCAAGCUGACAUUUUGUCUAGGAUCUUGGUGGAGAAUGGAUCAUCAAUAUCCAAGAGGGGCAAGAAGUCUGCCAUGGGUGCAUAG